GAUGAACGCUGGCGGCGUGCCUAAUACAUGCAAGUCGAGCGAACGGACGAGAAGCUUGCUUUUCUGAUGUUAGCGGCGGACGGGUGAGUAACACGUGGAUAACCUACCUAUAAGACUGGGAUAACUUCGGGAAACCGGAGCUAAUACCGGAUAAUAUUUUGAACCGCAUGGUUCAAAAGUGAAAGACGGUCUUGCUGUCACUUAUAGAUGGAUCCGCGCUGCAAUAGCUAGUUGGUAAGGUAACGGCUUACCAAGGCAACGAUGCAUAGCCGACCUGAGAGGGUGAUCGGCCACACUGGAACUGAGACACGGUCCAGACUCCUACGGGAGGCAGCAGUAGGGAAUCUUCCGCAAUGGGCGAAAGCCUGACGGAGCAACGCCGCGUGAGUGAUGAAGGUCUUCGGAUCGUAAAACUCUGUUAUUAGGGAAGAACAUAUGUGUAAGUAACUGUGCACAUCUUGACGGUACCUAAUCAGAAAGCCACGGCUAACUACGUG
rnacentral:rRNA from 1 species